rnacentral:rRNA from 1 species
CGAAGGGGCUAGCGUUGUUCGGAUUUACUGGGCGUAAAGGGCGCGUAGGCGGACCUGUAAGUCAGGGGUGAAAUCCCAAGGCUCAACCUUGGAACUGCCUUUGAUACUGUGGGUCUUGAGUUCGAGAGAGGUAAGUGGAACUGCGAGUGUAGAGGUGAAAUUCGUAGAUAUUCGCAAGAACACCAGUGGCGAAGGCGGCUUACUGGCUCGAAACUGACGCUGAGGCGCGAAAGCGUGGGGAGCAAACAGGAUU